UACGAAGGGGGCUAGCGUUGUUCGGAAUUACUGGGCGUAAAGCGCGCGCAGGCGGCUAUCCAAGUCAGUGGUGAAAGCCCGGAGCUCAACUCCGGAACUGCCAUUGAAACUGUUUAGCUUGAGUAUGAGAGAGGUGAGUGGAAUUCCCAGUGUAGAGGUGAAAUUCGUAGAUAUUGGGAAGAACACCGGUGGCGAAGGCGGCUCACUGGCUCGUUUCUGACGCUCAGGCGCGACAGCGUGGGGAUCAAACAGG
rnacentral:rRNA from 1 species